GAUGAAUGCUGGCGGCGUGCUUAGCACAUGCAAGUCGAGCGGUAACAGGUCUAGUUUACUAGAUGCUGACGAGCGGCGGACGGCUGAGUAACGCGUAGGAACGUGCCCCAAAGUGAGGAAUAACCGCCCGAAAGGGUGGCUAAUGCCGCAUAUGAUCUUCGGAUUAAAGGAUUUAUCCGCUUUGGGAGCGGCCUGCGUAUGAUUAGGUAGUUGGUGAGGUAAUGGCUCACCAAGCCGACGAUCAUUAGCUGGUCUGAGAGGAUGACCAGCCAGACUGGAACUGAGACACGGUCCAGACUCCUACGGGAGGCAGCAGUGAGGAAUCUUCCACAAUGGGCGAAAGCCUGAUGGAGCAACGCCGCGUGAAGGAUGAAGGCCCUCGGGUUGUAAACUUCUUUUAUAAGUGAAGAAUAUGACGGUAACUUAUGAAUAAGCACCGGCUAACUACGUGCCAGCCGCCGCCGUA
rnacentral:rRNA from 1 species